CAAAGCCCGCGCUCGAAUGCUAUUGGUCGUGUCGCCAAACACGUCAAUCAAAAUAUGACGCAAGUUGAUGCGUUCACUCAAAAGAUUCAUAAACAAACGAAAGGCCACUAAAAGGCGGUAUAAAUUGCACUACCGACGCGAAACUGCUCUGAAGGGAUUUUUAUCAGAUUCUAAGACAGCAUCACAUUCAACUUUGAUUGAAAUUAGUAUUGUUGCAAAUCCUCUGAGCCAAGGAAAACUGGAUGGAUUAGGAGUGAAUUCUGGCUCGCUGUGGUCCAGAUGUGUUUGGGAACGGUUGGUCGGGGAGCCGCUGCAAGAUGUUGGGCAAUUUUGGAGAAAAUUGGAAAUAAACAAGAGGGGUAAUUCACUAAGAAGAGGUGUGUAUCUGGAUUUAGAUGCAGUAAUGUGAACAGUUGCAAAAAUUCAGCGUUAAGAGGUCCUACAAUCGCACAGGAAUGUUGAUGACUUCUGGGUACAUCUAAAGGAAAUGGAGGCUUUCCUUUGUGUGAGGGGUGUUGGAGUAGCCAAACCCUCGGCUCAAUUUUUCCGACACCUCAUAAAGCGUGAGCUGUGCAUGUGCGUGAGGGCUGAAAUGAUUCACAGCACCAUGGAAACACAACUCACGGCUUCCUGCAGCACAUAUGGAGACGGUAAGGUAUGCCUGUGAUCUCAUAUCAAAAACACCGUUAGGACUCUGAAGUUCAACCUGCUCUCUAGAGGACACAUUCAUCUCAGGAACUUCUUAAAGACAAACAGUGUUUUUCCGGUUUGAUUGCUAGCGGUUUGACGCUCGGUUGGUUUUAUCCUGAGCACUUCUUGGCCCUGAUGGACAGAACGAGGAGAGAGUGAGAGGUUUUUGGCUUAUGAUUUUCCAUAAGCCUUUCCCUGUCACCGCUGCAUUAUACAAUCCAACCCACAAGCUGCAGCUCAGCACUGCUGACAAGCACCUCAGUUUUAGAAGAUGAAAGAACCAAAUAUUGCAAUUCUCUCCCCCUGUCUGUAUCAUAAAAGCUUUGGGGUGAUAUUACCAUGCUCAUGUGACUGCACAUAAUCCAUGUGUCAGCAGUUCAGCCUCAUCCAGAGCGCAAAGAAAACAAGGAUGUGCCAGAUUGGUGAAAUGGCAAACAACUGCAUCAGAGAGGGAAUGAAGUCAACAGUGCUGGCAGCGAAGAUAGUUUGCGUUAUUAUGGUGUCUUAGUUUGUAAACCUGGAUUGUUUUCUUUCUUUUUUUUGCUCCAUUUACGUUUGUUUUUCUGAUCUUAUUUUAUACAUAUUGCAGACAUGAAACAUGUUCAAUAAAAGGUAUUUUUAAGUGUAAAAAUAAUAAUCUAUGAAAUCAUGUGGGUGGGGCUUAUUUUAUUGGAUUUGAUUGGAUCAUGAAAAUCAGGGUACACUUAUUAUUGGAUAAUAGGCUAUUAUUUUUACUCGCGUGGCUUCAGGAGAAAAGAAAAGCCAUUUUACAGGUUGAAUACAUUACAUUUUUUAUAAAAGUUGAUGAAAAGAUUUGUUCUGUAGAAUAAAGUUCUCUGAAAAACAUUUGCAUACUAUGUUGAGGGACAUCUUUUAAGAAAGUAAUUGGGCUUAAUUUUGAUUUCAUGUUAUUUUAAAUCUAUAUGUUAAACCAAGAUACGUGUAUUUAACUUUUUUAACGAAACUUUUUUCUUAUUGAAAACACAUUUUCUGUUAAAUAAUGGAGGGCAGGACUUUUGUUUUGAUUGGACUAGAUUGUGAAAAGCAGGAUGCUCAUUAAAAUAUUAGGCUAUUUUAUCCCACUCGCAUGGUCUUGGCAGAAAAAAAAGGUCAUUUUAGAUGUGAAGAG
ensembl:lncRNA